GAUGAACGCUAGCGGGAGGCCUAACACAUGCAAGCCGAGCGGUAUUUGUUCUUCGGAACAGAGAGAGCGGCGUACGGGUGCGGAACACGUGUGCAACCUGCCUUUAUCAGGGGGAUAGCCUUUCGAAAGGAAGAUUAAUACCCCAUAAUAUAAUUGAUGGCAUCAUUGAUUAUUGAAAACUCCGGUGGAUAGAGAUGGGCACGCGCAAGAUUAGAUAGUUGGUAGGGUAACGGCCUACCAAGUCAGUGAUCUUUAGGGGGCCUGAGAGGGUGAUCCCCCACACUGGUACUGAGACACGGACCAGACUCCUACGGGAGGCAGCAGUGAGGAAUAUUGGACAAUGGGUGAGAGCCUGAUCCAGCCAUCCCGCGUGAAGGACGACGGUUCUAUGGAUUGUAAACUUCUUUUAUACUGGGAUAAACCUACUUACGUGUAAGUAGCUGAAGGUACAGUAUGAAUAAGCACCGGCUAACUCCGUGCCAGCAGCCGCGGUAAUACGGAGGGUGCAAGCGUUAUCCGGAUUUAUUGGGUUUAAAGGGUCCGUAGGCGGAUCUGUAAGUCAGUGGUGAAAUCUCAUAGCUUAACUAUGAAACUGCCAUUGAUACUGCAGGUCUUGAGUAAAGUAGAAGUGGCUGGAAUAAGUAGUGUAGCGGUGAAAUGCAUAGAUAUUACUUAGAACACCAAUUGCGAAGGCAGGUCACUAUGUUUUAACUGACGCUGAUGGACGAAAGCGUGGGGAGCGAACAGGAUUAGAUACCCUGGUAGUCCACGCCGUAAACGAUGCCUAACUCGUUUUUGGGCUUUCGGGUUCAGAGACUAAGCGAAAGUGAUAAGUUAGCCACCUGGGGAGUACGUUCGCAAGAAUGAAACUCAAAGGAAUUGACGGGGGCCCGCACAAGCGGUGGAUUAUGUGGUUUAAUUCGAUGAUACGCGAGGAACCUUACCAAGGCUUAAAUGGGAAUUGACAGGUUUAGAAAUAGACUUUUCUUCGGACAAUUUUCAAGGUGCUGCAUGGUUGUCGUCAGCUCGUGCCGUGAGGUGUUAGGUUAAGUCCUGCAACGAGCGCAACCCCUGUCACUAGUUGCCAUCAUUCAGUUGGG
rnacentral:rRNA from 1 species